UGGGGAAUUUUGGACAAUGGGCGAAAGCCUGAUCCAGCAAUGCCGCGUGUGUGAAGAAGGCCUUCGGGUUGUAAAGCACUUUUGUCCGGAAAGAAAUCCUUGGCUCUAAUACAGUCGGGGGAUGACGGUACCGGAAGAAUGAGCACCGGCUAACUACGUGCCAGCAGCCGCGGUAAUACGUAGGGUGCAAGCGUUAAUCGGAAUUACUGGGCGUAAAGCGUGCGCAGGCGGUUUGCUAAGACCGAUGUGAAAUCCCCGGGCUCAACCUGGGAACUGCAUUGGUGACUGGCAGGCUAGAGUAUGGCAGAGGGGGGUAGAAUUCCACGUGUAGCAGUGAAAUGCGUAGAGAUGUGGAGGAAUACCGAUGGCGAAGGCAGCCCCCUGGGCCAAUACUGACGCUCAUGCACGAAAGCGUGGGGAGCAAACAGGAUUAGAUACCCUGGUAGUCCACGCCCUAAACGAUGUCAACUAGUUGUUGGGGAUUCAUUUCCUUAGUAACGUAGCUAACGCGUGAAGUUGACCGCCUGGGGAGUACGGUCGCAAGAUUAAAACUCAAAUGAAUUGACGGGGUCAUAGCUG
rnacentral:rRNA from 1 species